rnacentral:rRNA from 1 species
AUAUCAAUAAGCGGAGGAAAAGAAACUAACAAGGAUUCCCCUAGUAACGGCGAGUGAAGCGGGAAGAGCUCAAAUUUAAAAUCUGGUUUGCUUGCAAAUCCGAGUUGUAGUCUGAAGAAACGUUUUCCUUGAAAGCUGAGGCACAAGUCCUUUGGAACAGGGCAUCAUAGAGGGUGAGAAUCCCGUCCAUGGUCUCAAGCAUUUCAUUUUGUGAUACGUUUUCUAAGAGUCAGGUUGUUUGGGAAUGCAGCCUAAAAUGGGUGGUAAAUUUCAUCUAAAGCUAAAUAUUGGCGAGAGACCGAUAGCGAACAAGUACCGUGAGGGAAAGAUGAAAAGCACUUUGGAAAGAGAGUGAAACAGUACGUGAAAUUGUUGAAAGGGAAACGCUUGAAGUCAGUCGCGUCGACCGAGACUCAGCCUCGCCUCGGCUUGGUGUACUUCUCGGCUCGACGGGUCAGCAUCGAUUUCGAUCCUCGGAUAAUGGCGAGGGAAAGGUAGCACCUUUUUAGGUGUGUUAUAGUCCUCUGUCGCAUGCGAGGGUCGGGAUCGAGGAACUCAGCACGCACCUCAGGGUGUCGGGGCCUUGGCCCACGUUUACGUGCUUAGGAUGCUGGCGUAAUGGCUUUAAACGA